rnacentral:snoRNA from 1 species
AUGCCAUGGUGAGGACAAUUUUUAAUCAUCAUAUUAAACCUCUUAAAUGCUUCAUGAAACAUUUCACCCGAUUGUUGUUGAAAACUUCUCAAACUCCUUCUAGCAU